AACCUGGCCACACAGCUAGCAAUUGUCCAAAUGAGGGAAUCUGCCACACCUGUGGGAAGGCUGGACAUCGGGCCAGAGACUGCACAGCACCCCCAAUGCCACCUGGGGAUGUGAGGUUAUGCAAUAAUUGCUAUAAGCCUGGUCAUAUUGCAGCUGAUUGUACAAAUGACAAGGCGUGCAACAACUGUAGAAGGCCAGGUCACUUGGCACGUGACUGUACAAAUGAUCCCAUCUGCAACUUGUGCAAUGUAGCUGGACAUGUAGCAAGGCAAUGCCCGAAAGCCAACAUUAUUGGAGAUCGAGGUGGUGGUGGUCGCAGUGGUGGUUACCGAGACCAUCGAGAUAUUGUGUGUCGAAAC
rnacentral:lncRNA from 1 species